UUUUUUAAAACUGUUUCACAAAAAUGUAUUAAUUGCUUUUAUAUUCUCUUUGCUUGUUUUUUCUUUCCAUGCUGCCCAUUGUUCUCAUCCACCACCAAUCUUAAGUGAAAAAAAGAAGAAAGUGAAACCACCCAGGACUUUGAUCGCUGAAGAUGGGAAAGCCCUAAAUGUGAAUGAGCCCAAAAUUGACUUCUCUUUGAAAGAUAAUGAAAAGCAGAUCAUCCUGGACCUUGCUGUCUAUAGGUAUAUGGAUACCUCUUUAAUCGAUGUUGAUGUGCAACCAACUUACGUGCGAGUAAUGAUCAAAGGAAAGCCAUUUCAGCUUGUCCUUCCUGCAGAAGUGAAACCCGAUAGCAGUUCUGCUAAAAGAUCUCAGACAACGGGUCAUUUGGUCAUCUGCAUGCCCAAGGUAGGAGAAGUAAUCACAGGUGGUCGGCGAGCAUUCAAAUCUAUGAAAACUACCUCGGACAGGAGCAGAGAACAAACAAAUACAAGAAGCAAGCACAUGGAGAAACUAGAAGUAGACCCUAGCAAGCACUCAUUCCCUGAUG
rnacentral:sRNA from 1 species